GACGAACGCUGGCGGCGUGCUUAACACAUGCAAGUCGAACGGAAAGGCCCUGCUUGCAGGGUGCUCGAGUGGCGAACGGGUGAGUAACACGUGGGUGAUCUGCCCCUUACUUUGGGAUAAGCCUGGGAAACUGGGUCUAAUACUGGAUAGGACCAUGCUGUAGGUGGUGUGGUGGAAAGAUUAGUUUCGGUAAGGGAUGAGCUCGCGGCCUAUCAGCUUGUUGGUGGGGUAAUGGCCUACCAAGGCGUCGACGGGUAGCCGGCCUGAGAGGGUGGACGGCCACAUUGGGACUGAGAUACGGCCCAGACUCCUACGGGAGGCAGCAGUGGGGAAUAUUGCACAAUGGGCGCAAGCCUGAUGCAGCGACGCCGCGUGGGGGAUGACGGCCUUCGGGUUGUAAACUCCUCUCAGCCAUGACGAAGCCCUUGUGGUGACGGUAGUGGUAGAAGAAGCGCCGGCUAACUACGUG
rnacentral:rRNA from 1 species